UAUAUUUGGAGAGAUGGCCGAGUGGACGAAAGCGGCGGAUUGCUAAUCCGUUGUACAAGUUUUUUGUACCGAGGGUUCGAAUCCUUUCUCUCCGU